UAUUUUAUUUUUUUUUAAUUUUUUUAAUAAACACCAACAUACAUGCCACCAAACAACAGAAAGAAGGGAAUCAGACCAAAACAGGUACUCUUCUCUCAUCUUUCCUCCCUCUAUCUCUCUUCUUCUUAUUCUUUCCUCUUUCUCCUCUAGUAUUCUUCUAUUCUUCUCCUCUCACAGUCAGACGCACCCUAUCUUAGCACCUGCACACACUCAGGCAUUUUUUUUUCUUUUUAAUUUUU
rnacentral:misc_RNA from 1 species